UGCAGUCGUACGGUGUACACCGAGAGCUUGCUCUGUGGGAUCAGUGGCGAACGGGUGAGUAACACGUGAGCAACCUGCCCCUGACUCUGGGAUAAGCGCUGGAAACGGCGUCUAAUACUGGAUACGAGACGUGAUCGCAUGGUCAACGUCUGGAAAGAAUUUCGGUUGGGGAUGGGCUCGCGGCCUAUCAGCUUGUUGGUGAGGUAAUGGCUCACCAAGGCGUCGACGGGUAGCCGGCCUGAGAGGGUGACCGGCCACACUGGGACUGAGACACGGCCCAGACUCCUACGGGAGGCAGCAGUGGGGAAUAUUGCACAAUGGGCGCAAGCCUGAUGCAGCAACGCCGCGUGAGGGAUGACGGCCUUCGGGUUGUAAACCUCUUUUAGCAGGGAAGAAGCGAAAGUGACGGUACCUGCAGAAAAAGCGCCGGCUAACUACGUGCCAGCAGCCGCGGUAAUACGUAGGGCGCAAGCGUUAUCCGGAAUUAUUGGGCGUAAAGAGCUCGUAGGCGGUUUGUCGCGUCUGCUGUGAAAUCCGGAGGCUCAACCUCCGGCCUGCAGUGGGUACGGGCAGACUAGAGUGCGGUAGGGGAGAUUGGAAUUCCUGGUGUAGCGGUGGAAUGCGCAGAUAUCAGGAGGAACACCGAUGGCGAAGGCAGAUCUCUGGGCCGUAACUGACGCUGAGGAGCGAAAGGGUGGGGAGCAAACAGGCUUAGAUACCCUGGUAGUCCACCCCGUAAACGUUGGGAACUAGUUGUGGGGUCCAUUCCACGGAUUCCGUGACGCAGCUAACGCAUUAAGUUCCCCGCCUGGGGAGUACGGCCGCAAGGCUAAAACUCAAAGGAAUUGACGGGGACCCGCACAAGCGGCGGAGCAUGCGGAUUAAUUCGAUGCAAC
rnacentral:rRNA from 1 species